GAUUAGAGGACUACAAAUGCACCAGAUUCUUGAUAAAAAGCGGAAUAGAAGUAGAACGAACAAAUAUUUGCAAUUGGAAAUAUUCUUUGUUUUUUCAUCUCAUCUUGGUUUUUCGGAAUAAUUGACGCGCUGUAUUGCCUGCAGUGCACAGAUGUUGUUUCUCCAAGACAUUGUCAUUCGAUCAAAUAUUGUAAACCGAUGAGGUAAAAAGUCGCACUUUAAAAUUUUUAUGUGAAAUGUUUGCAGUUAUACAAUUAGACUUGCUUUAUUAUUUCAUUUCAAUUCUUCUGUCUUAAAUUUCUU